rnacentral:rRNA from 1 species
AUGCAAGUCGUACGAGGGCUUUUAGCCCUAGUGGCGGACGGGUGAGUAACACGUGAGAAUCUGCCCUUAGGAGGAGGAUAACAGCUGGAAACGGUUGCUAAUACUCCAUAUGCCGAGAGGUGAAAGGAAUUUCUGCCUAAGGAGGAGCUCGCGUCUGAUUAGCUAGUUGGUAGGGUAAAGGCCUACCAAGGCGACGAUCAGUAGCUGGUUUGAGAGGAUGAUCAGCCACACUGGGACUGAGACACGGCCCAGACUCCUACGGGAGGCAGCAGUAGGGAAUUUUCCGCAAUGGGCGAAAGCCUGACGGAGCAAUACCGCGUGAGGGAUGACGGCCUGUGGGUUGUAAACCUCUUUUCUCAAGGAAGAAGUUCUGACGGUACUUGAGGAAUAAGCAUCGGCUAACUCUGUGCCAGCAGCCGCGGUAAUACAGAGGAUGCAAGCGUUAUCCGGAAUCACUGGGCAUAAAGCGUCUGUAGGUGGUUUGGUAAGUCUGCUGUUAAAGACUGGGGCUCAACCCCAGAAAAGCAGUGGAAACUGCCAGACUUGAGUGUGGUAGAGGUAAAGGGAAUUCCUAGUGUAGCGGUGAAAUGCGUAGAUAUUAGGAAGAACACCAAUGGCGAAGGCACUUUACUGGGCCAUAACUGACACUGAGAGACGACAGCUAGUGGAGCUAUUGGGAUUAGAUACUCCAGUAGUCCUAGCCGUAAACGAUGGAUACUAGAUGUUGCACG